rnacentral:rRNA from 1 species
UGCGUAGGUGGCGCCGUAAGUCGGGUGUGAAAUUUCGGAGCUUAACUCCGAAACUGCAUUCGAUACUGCGGUGCUUGAGGACUGGAGAGGAGACUGGAAUUCAUGGUGUAGCAGUGAAAUGCGUAGAGAUCAUGAGGAAGACCAGUGGCGAAGGCGGGUCUCUGGACAGUUCCUGACACUGAGGCACGGAAGGCCAGGGGAGCAAACG